rnacentral:lncRNA from 10 species
CCUAGGUAACAUAGUGAGACCCUGCCUCUACAAAAAAAUACAAAAAUUAGCCAGGCAUGGUUGUGCAUGCCAGUAGUCCCAGCUACUUGGGAGUCUGAGGUAGGAGGAUCACUUGAGCCCAGGAGGUUGAGGCUGCAGUGAUCCGUCCCUCACCAAAUUGCAGCCCACAACUGGCUGGGGCUGCUCCUCUGUUGCUUCCCUAUCAUAAGCAGGUGAAGCUGUGGGACCAGGUCUUCCUCAAACAAGGGGGAGAAAGGGAAUCCCAGGAAUUGACCUAAUAAGGUGCUUCCCAAAAGGAAAAAAAACUAACCCCUCACAUAGAAAAGCUCCCUGUAUUCAUUAGCAAUGUUGUUUAUGUUGUUCCUGAGCAGAUAUUAAAAGGAGUGCUUGAGUAUACAUUUAAUAAACCUCACCCGUGUUAUAGACCCUGGAGUCUCAUCUGUUUUUCCCUUGUUACCAUUUACCUUAAAACAAAGGAGCAAACAAGAAAACACACACACACACACAAGCCCUUUUAUCAUUUUUCCUCAUUAUAUAAGUAACAUAUGCUCAUUGUAAGACAUCAGAACACAUGGAUAAGAAAGAAGGAGGAAAUAAUAAUGAGCAUAUAUGUCUCAUUAUUAUUAGUAGAGAUAAUAGUAUAGUACUAGUACUAAUAGAUAUAGUUAGUAGAGAUAAUAUCUCUACCACUCAGAGACAACCAGUAUUAAUAUGUUUGUGACCAUACAUACAGACUUUUUUUGAUGCAUGUCUAUGGUUUAAAAAUGGAUCACAGGGCUGAGUGCAGUGGCUCAUGCCUGUAAUCCAAGCACUCUGGGAGGAGGCCAAGGUGGGAGGAUCACUUGAGCCCAGGAGUUUGAGACCAGCCUGGGCAACAUGGCAAAACCUCGUCUCUACAAAAAAAAAAAAAAAGUACAAAAAAAAAAUUAGCCAGGCAUGGUGGCAAAUCUCUGUGGUCUCAGCUACUCAGGAGGCUGAGGUGGGAGGAUUGUUUGAGCACAGGAGGUCAAGGGCUCAUGCUUGUAAUCCCAGUAGUUUGGGAGGCUAAAAAGGGCAGAUCACCUGAGGUCAGGGUUUGAGACCAGCCUGGCCAACAUGGUAAAACCUCAUCUCUACUACUGAUUUGAGAGAUAAUUCCAGUUCUACAUGGCCAGCCUCAUGUCAGUUAAACUCUUUCUUUACUGUAAUACCACCACGAUUGUUUGAGGCCACGAGUUUGAGACAAGCCUGGGCAGCAUAUAAAGACCCUAUCUCUACAAAAAAAAUUUUUUUAAUUAGCUGGGCAUGAUGAGAGUGAAAUCCUGUCUCUCAAAAAUAUAUUGAAAUAGGGCUGGGUGCAGUAGCUCUAUUAUUUGGGAACUGAUAAAUGUCCAUAUUAAAAUGAAAUCUUCAUAAUUUAUGUUCCUCUGCCACAGCUCCAGCUGGUCCCUUCAUUCGGGGUCCCUGACUUCCCACAACAUAGAAAGUCUUUUCAAGCAUUACACAAAAACCUAAAUGAAACAAAGGUAAUGAUUUAUAGACUUGAAAAAAAAUUAAAAACCUCUUUAUUACCAAAAAACAUUUUAAAGAAAUUAAAAGAUGAUUCAACAGAGUGCCAAGACAAUUCAAUAGGGGAAGAAUUUUUUUUCCAAAUUGUGUUAAGACAAUUGUAUAUCCAUGUGUAAAUUUAAAAAAAUGAAAUUGUACUCCCUAUAUCACACCACAUAUAAAAUAUUAACCCAAAAAGAAUGAAAGUCCUAAAUAUAAGAGCUAUAACCAUAAAAUCCUUAGAAGAAAAAGUAGAUGUAGAUCUUCGUGACUUUGGAUUAGACAGCAGUUUCUUAGGUAUGACUCUGGCACAAGCCAUCAGAAAAAAAAAAUAGAUAAAUUGGACUUCACUAAGAUUAACAAAUCUUGUGCUUCAAAGGACACUAGCAAGAGAAUGAAACAACAACUCACAGAAUGAAGAAGAAUAUUGCAAGUCAUAUCUCUCACA